rnacentral:rRNA from 1 species
UGUCAGAGUUUUAAAUAUGGCUCAGGAUGAACGCUGGCGGCGUGCAUAAUACAUGCAAGUCGAGCGAACGGACGAGAAGCUUGCUUCUCUGAUGUUAGCGGCGGACGGGUGAGUAACACGUGGAUAACCUACCUAUAAGACUGGGAUAACUUCGGGAAACCGGAGCUAAUACCGGAUAAUAUUUUGAACCGCAUGGUUCAAAAGUGAAAGACGGUCUUGCUGUCACUUAUAGAUGGAUCCGCGCUGCAUUAGCUAGUUGGUAAGGUAACGGCUUACCAAGGCAACGAUGCAUAGCCGACCUGAGAGGGUGAUCGGCCACACUGGAACUGAGACACGGUCCAGACUCCUACGGGAGGCAGCAGUAGGGAAUCUUCCGCAAUGGGCGAAAGCCUGACGGAGCAACGCCGCGUGAGUGAUGAAGGUCUUCGGAUCGUAAAACUCUGUUAUUAGGGAAGAACAUAUGUGUAAGUAACUGUGCACAUCUUGACGGUACCUAAUCAGAAAGCCACGGCUAACUACGUGCCAGCAGCCGCGGUAAUACGUAGGUGGCAAGCGUUAUCCGGAAUUAUUGGGCGUAAAGCGCGCGUAGGCGGUUUUUUAAGUCUGAUGUGAAAGCCCACGGCUCAACCGUGGAGGGUCAUUGGAAACUGGAAAACUUGAGUGCAGAAGAGGAAAGUGGAAUUCCAUGUGUAGCGGUGAAAUGCGCAGAGAUAUGGAGGAACACCAGUGGCGAAGGCGACUUUCUGGUCUGUAACUGACGCUGAUGUGCGAAAGCGUGGGGAUCAAACAGGAUUAGAUACCCUGGUAGUCCACGCCGUAAACGAUGAGUGCUAAGUGUUAGGGGGUUUCCGCCCCUUAGUGCUGCAGCUAACGCAUAAGCACUCCCGCCUGGAGUC